rnacentral:lncRNA from 1 species
AAAAAACUUCGAAAUCGGAAGAGAAUAUCAAUAACCAAAUACGGAAAUAGAUGAAAUUCCAAAUGAAAAGAACAUGAAAUUCGAGAAAUCGAAACAAAAUUACAAACAAGAUUGAUAAAAUUUGCAAAUUCAAAAAAAUGAAAAGGGGGAAAUUGAGAGAGAUGAAGGCGGGUUUUUUUUUUUUUUUUAUGUUUGAUGAAAGCGUGACGGCGAAGUUGAAAAAAAAGAAAGUGAUAUGUUUAUGAAUGGAUUGGGAAUGGCACACACUUUUACAUAAUAGAAGCAAAGCAAGGAACUAGAGGUGAUCAUGGGCAUCUGAAGAACAAAGUCGGUUUUCUUGAAUAUAAUACUUGAAGUUCAAAGGAUCGAAAGUUCUUCAGAAACAGAGUUUAACUGGAAUUGGAUGAGAUUGACCGGCAUCACAGCGGGACGGAGACGGCUGAAGGCUGGAGCGGAGAAGGCGAUGGCAGCGGUGAUCGCCGACGACAGAGGAAGCGGGAGACUGAGAGGCCGCCGGAGUGGAAACGGCU